rnacentral:tRNA from 1 species
GUGCUCGGCUAAGAUUCGAACUCAGGACUCUUGUAUGCUAGACGAGCGCUUUACCAUCCAUUUUUACCAC